rnacentral:tRNA from 1 species
AAGGUACUAGUAAAACCGGUAUUAUAUUGCCUUGUCAAGGCAGAGUUGUGGGUUAAAGUCCCACGUACCUUG